CCUACGGGAGGCAGCAGUGGGGAAUAUUGCACAAUGGGGGAAACCCUGAUGCAGCAACGCCGCGUGAGUGAUGACGGCCUUCGGGUUUUAAAGCUCUGUCUUUAGGGACGUUAAUGACGGUACCUGUGGAUGAAGCCACGGCUAAUUACGUGCCAGCAGCCGCGGUAAUACGUAGGCGGCGAGCGUUAUCCGGAUUUACUGGGCGUAAAGGGAGCGUAGGCGGAUUUUUAAGUGAGAUGUGAAAUACUCGGGCUCAACUUGAGUGCUGCAUUUUAAACUGGAAGUCUUGAGUGCAGGAGAGGAGAAUGGAAUUCCUGGUGUAGCGGUGAAAUGCGUAGAGAUUAGGAAGAACACCGAUGGCGAAGGCGAUUCUCUGGACUGUAACUGACGCUGAGGCUCGAAAGCGUGGGGAGCAAACAGGAUUAGAUACCCUAGUAGUC
rnacentral:rRNA from 1 species